AACGAACGCUGGCGGCGUGCCUAACACAUGCAAGUCGUGCGGGAAAGCAGGGGCAACUCUGCGAGUACAGCGGCGCACGGGUGAGUAACACGUAGGUAACCUACCUUCGAGACUGGGGUAACCUGUCGAAAGACGGGCUAAUACUGGAUGACCCGCGGGCGCUGCGGCUCCUGUGGUGAAAGGUGGCCUCUGCUUGCAAGCUACUACCCGAGGAUGGGCCUGCGCGCCAUUAGCUUGUUGGUGGGGUAAUGGCCCACCAAGGCAAAGAUGGCUAGCUGGUCUGAGAGGAUGGCCAGCCACACUGGGACUGAGACACGGCCCAGACUCCUACGGGAGGCAGCAGUGGGGAAUAUUGCGCAAUGGGCGAAAGCCUGACGCAGCGACGCCGCGUGGGUGAUGAAGGCCAUCGGGUCGUAAAGCCCUGUCGGGAGGGACGAAACCUCGGCAACCUAAUACGUUGUCGACCUGACGGUACCUCCGAAGGAAGCACCGGCUAACUCCGUGCCAGCAGCCCGGUAACAC
rnacentral:rRNA from 1 species